GGGGACCUGGGCAACGGCGCCAGCGCGGGGCUGAGGGCCCUAGUCUGCUGUCAGGAAAGCUAAGGCUCAGGACAGUCAUCCUUCAGAACGCACAACUGCCGUGACUGGUCUAACACAAGGAUGAAGGACAAGCGUCUUUAAAAAAUAUGCAAGCAGGAGAGCCAUCGCUGUGCCACUUUGUCACAUUGUCUCCGAUUAUUAAAAGAAGAUCAGGCUGUCACGCUGCCCCUCCCGGCAAUCCUGCGAGCAUUUUGGGAGAACUCACAUACAUUCUGGAGCAGGCAGUGGGAGCGGGGACCUGCUGAUGACCCAGCAGUAAUGUCUGAAAACACUAUGCCUAACUUGAGCUGUUGGAAAAUAUUAUCUGACAUCUUCUUGCGAUGGAAUAACUUCAUGUUUCUUUUUUUUUAAGUUGAAAAGGAAUCAAGUAUCUAAGACCAUUUUUAGCUAGCUGUUCAGCUGGCUUCUCUCCUCCAAUCUUACACUUUAAAAAAUAACUUUAAAGUAGCGUUGGCAUUAACUUAUAUUUGCUCAUAAUAAAAACCAACGAAAUUUCU
ensembl:antisense 4930404A12Rik RIKEN cDNA 4930404A12 gene